rnacentral:tRNA from 1 species
GUUGUCGUGGCCGAUAGGUUAAGGCGAUGGACUACAAAUCUUUUGGGAUCUUCCCGCGCAGGUUCAAAUCGUGCCGACAUUG